rnacentral:miRNA from 1 species
UAGGGUGACCAACCAUCCUGGUUUGCCUGGGACUGUGUGGUUUUAGCACUGUAAGUCCUGUGUCCCAGGACA